rnacentral:lncRNA from 1 species
AACGUAACAAAAAAUGUUUUCGUUGUUUCAUUUACCUAAACUCACAGCACUUAAAUAAUAUGUGGCAGAAUGCAACGAUUUUUAUUACGUGGCUAAAUGAGCAGAUACCAGUGACGAUUAGUGACGAGAGACAUGAGAUUCAAUCUGAUCUUCUGUAUCUUUUCCUGAGAGCCAUUCUGAAAAAAAAAUUAUUCUAAUCUUAUCAUUUUUGGUCGUGACAGAAUGACGGUGGAUUGUGGGGAGUUUGGCCUUGGUUCAGAAACCAAGAUUUCCCAGGGAUUGCGCCCUCCAAACGAAGCAGCUACAUUCUUUCAUCUUACAACGACUCGCCUUUGCGGGAUAAGCAAACAGCGUGGAGUCCAGUUGAUACCAUCGCCCAGGAGGUAGAGUUGGGGCCCCCAAUUUACUUGGAGGAACAAGUCUAGAAACGCGAAAUCAAGUUUUGGAUUCUGCAUCAGCCUGACCCAGGAUUAGACCCAAAGCUCUAAAUGAAUGGCAAUCUGGAAAGUCUACUCAUAUUUGUUCCUUUAGUCGUCAAGCACCUCUACAAUAUUUUAGACGUACAAGUUCAUAAGGCAAGACGUUCUCUGUUGCGUAUGAAUUGAUUAAGAUUUUAAAAAAUAUACUGUAUAAAUCAGACUCCGUAAAACUUUGAAUAAAUAUUUAAAUGUUCUUACAUGUUCCCUAGUUGUAAACGUCAUAUAAUUUAAUGAUAUUAGUCAAAUAAUUGUCUAAAAAAUUUUAUAGCACUUCUGUGAAGUAUUUGAAAGACUGUUGUAAUCAAUAUUUCGCGAGGAUGAAGUGGAGAAGUUACUUUCUGAACAACUCUCGCAGUGAGAGAUCGUCCAAAAGGAGAAUCUGAAGAUCUUACAUUUAAAAGGAGUUUUAAAAUACUGAAAUAGCAUACUGCUUAAAAGAUAAACGAGAAUCUCGAAAAAAAAUGACACAUGGUUGGUGCUUCAUUAAUUCAUACAGUCUUGUAGAUCCUUCCAAAUAAAAGAUACCUACUACAUUUACGUUAAUAUCAUUGAAUAUAUAUAAUUGGGCAAAAUUUUCAAUAAGGCAUUAUUAUUUGUACCUCAUUAAGAAAACACCUAUCUGAAUAAGGAAACUAUAAGGGCACAUAUUUUAUUUCUUGACAGAGCUUUUUAUUAGUAAUUCUUGAUUGCAAAAUGGAGCUCAAUUUAAAAUAAAUUCGGCCUUUUGAAAAGUCUACUAUUAGCAUUAAUGUGGAAAGAUUCUCUAUGUUUUUGAAAUUUGGUUAGUCUAGUACAAAUAUUUUGGUGUGGAUUUUUUUCUAUAACAAUGAAAAGGAAAAUGGUGGUUGUUAUUUUUGGAUUCCAGUGUGUUUUUCUUAAACUCGGUGUCCAGUUGACAAUACACAGUGAAUAAAGUUCAGGGAAACUUUCGAAUAAAAAAAUAUUGGUUCUCAUCGAUGAAGUCUAUUAUUUAACGUAAAAAGUAUUAGCCAAAAUUUAAGAGAGUUACAAUCAAUUACAUACUUUUCAAGAAUCAUUUGGACAAGAGAUGACGCAAUCCUUAAAGCUGAGGUCCAUACACGUCCUUUUGCAGGGACUCGUUAGUUGAUGGCAUACAAUGUAGAUCCAGUAUGAUCCAGAUGUAUAUGUCAAAUCCAUAUGAAAAUAUUGCAAAGUUACAGCUAACAACUAAUUUCUCCAUUCAUUAAUGGGUGAAUAUUUUACUUUUAUGUUAAAAAAUCUACGUAAUACGCUAAUUAAAGCGUAAAUGUGCUAAGAAAAUUUGAAGAGCAUUUGCAAUCAAUCUUGAGUAAAAAUUCAGGUUAUAUGACAUUUCGUCAACGAUUUUUUGUCUGCGCACCUGUUUUUUCCAGUAAUUUACGUCCACGCGUUUUUUCGGCACGGGAGUUUUGGUCUAUAUGCCAGUUGAGACGCAAAGUUAACUGACCAACAUAUAAAAAAAACGACCAUUGCUCACGACGUUUUUGGAUGAAAAUGUAUAAUGUCUUGGAAGAAUGAGGGUUUGCUUGUUUUUUUGUUUUGUCUGUUCGGUCCAACGGAGAAUAAUACAUAGUUGAGAGUUUUGGUAAAAAUGGGGAGCGUCAACUCCAUCAUGAAACAAAAUUCACUAAAACUCUCCACACCUCUUUGGUGUAACAGGACUUAAUUAUCUUUCAAGAAAGUCCCACCUUGUUAUACCUGAACCGGAUAAACCUAUAUAUUUGCCUCAGCCAAAGGCUCUUAGAUUUUUCCUGUGUACGAUAAGUAUCUUGAUUUAUUUUGCGAGGAAAGAUCUGUACUUUUAAAGGAUGCCUGUCAUUCUUAAUACGUUCAAUUUCGUUUAAUAUUGUGCAACACAUCUGUCGCGAAAUAGUUACUUCAGGCGCCGCGCGCCGCCGCACGGCGGGCGGGCGGCCAGCGCGAAGU